AUGAGCAUUUUGCCAGUGAUCUAUGCACUACUCCCUUUGUUGGUACUCGGGUCACGAGGAAAGCUAGCUGCGCUAGCAUCAGGAGGCGUAACAAGUUACAACCCUGCAGGAGGCUGGGUGCAACCCUCACAUGGCACGCUCCACAGUUGCCCAAAGAGCUGUGGAAAUGUGAGCAUCGGCUACGCCUUCGGCAUCGGAUCCAUGUGUUCCCGGGGGGCCGACUUCAACCUCACCUGCAACGAAACCGCGCAUUCCCCUAGACUGUAUUUGCGUGAUGGCAUCACCCAGGUGAUUAGCUUUGAAGAAUCUUUUUCUGGUAGUAACUCCAUCGCGGCCUCCUUCUCGCAUACCAUCCCUAUGCAACCUGGUGGUAACACUAGUUUUCACCUCAAACUUGUCAACAACCACAGCAAAAGCAACAUUGAUGCACUCUCUAACCACACCUCUAAGCUGUGGGAUAGAAUCAACAUAGCUAGUGAUGGGCCGAGUGGCCUUCUGCUAUGGUGGCAGAUAGUCGACCAAUCCAACUGCGUUGCUGCCAAGAAAAACAAGGCAGACUAUGCAUGUAUCAGCGAGCAUGCCGAGUGCUUUAACGGAAGCCAUGGCUACAACUGCAUGUGCAGCAUUGGCUAUACAGGCAACCCCUACUUUCCAGAUGGUUGCUCCAAGCUCGAUGUUGAUUUCACUAGAGGAUUGCCUGAGCUACAGUAA
rnacentral:rRNA from 1 species